GUUUUUUCGGGAAGGGAAAAAGAAAAAGAAGAGGAGGAAGGUGACAAUUGCGGUGUGUAUUGCUCACGUUUUUUGAGGUUGGGAUAUCGAAAAUUGUAAGGAUGAGAGAUAGUUGGUCGCCGGGGAGAAAAUUGACGAAUAGACGAACCUUUAUCGCCGUUACGUUAGCUACUCUUUUUGUGGUCGUGUCUGGCGCAGGCGUCGAUGUGUGCUUCAGUAGUGCUUUAACCGCUUGUUGCGAGACGUAAGGAGGCGGCACCUGUCCAAGAUGAGGAAGCUGCCAUCUCCGCGGUGACAACAUCGUUCAUCGAAUCCACUGCGACUCUGACCGCUGUCGAGAGUGAAGGCACCAUGUCGACGAUAAGGUCAACCAUAUGAAGGGUCGAGUUCCCCGAUCGAUAAAUGAAAGGACUAGAUUAUUGUGAGUGUGCAAUUUUGCACUAAAUGUAAGGUACUCUUUAUAGAAUAAAUGCGCCAUAGUGCGUAGACUUAGAGACUAAUUAAAUCCAAACGAGAUUACUAUGUUCACCUUAUAAUAGAGAAAUUUUGGAAGUUUUAGCUGUGAGAACACAUUCGGUCCAUCUUGAUGGACAUGCAGAAUUUAGGUAUAGGUUUACUACUAAUUAAUUUUGCUGUGUAGUUUAUUAGUAUUAUUAGUCUUCUAUAUCUUAGAACUUAGGAUUAAUUUCCGUGAGAGAAUGGGGCUAUGUUCCUCAUCCCUUUGCUUUUCCUUUGCCGCGAAAGAGCUGCUCGCCUUGAUAUCUAUUGAUUAGAUCAACUGAUGGACGAAGGAUAUUUGCAUUUUAAGUAUAGCAAAAUUUUUUUCUAUUGGCUAUAAUUCGUAUUUAUGAAGAAUACAAGAUUCGUAAAUAAGCAAUAUAUAUCAUAAAAGCAAUGGGAGAAAGUAUGUCUUCAGAGGAGAGAAUAUAUUUAAAUAAAAA